rnacentral:rRNA from 1 species
UCAUGUCUCAGAUUGAACGCUGGCGGCAUGCCUUACACAUGCAAGUCGAACGGUAACAGGUCUUCGGAUGCUGACGAGUGGCGAACGGGUGAGUAAUACAUCGGAACGUGCCCGAUCGUGGGGGAUAACGGAGCGAAAGCUUUGCUAAUACCGCAUACGAUCUACGGAUGAAAGCAGGGGACCGCAAGGCCUUGCGCGGACGGAGCGGCCGAUGGCAGAUUAGGUAGUUGGUGGGAUAAAAGCUUACCAAGCCGACGAUCUGUAGCUGGUCUGAGAGGACGACCAGCCACACUGGGACUGAGACACGGCCCAGACUCCUACGGGAGGCAGCAGUGGGGAAUUUUGGACAAUGGGCGAAAGCCCGAUCCAGCCAUGCCGCGUGCAGGAUGAAGGCCUUCGGGUUGUAAACUGCUUUUGUACGGAACGAAAAGACUCCUUCUAAUAAAGGGGGUCCAUGACGGUACCGUAAGAAUAAGCACCGGCUAACUACGUGCCAGCAGCCGCGGUAAUACGUAGGGUGCAAGCGUUAAUCGGAAUUACUGGGCGUAAAGCGCGCGUAGGUGGUUCAGCAAGUUGGAUGUGAAAGCCCUGGGCUCAACCUGGGAACUGCAUCCAAAACUACUGAGCUAGAGUACGGUAGAGGGUAGUGGAAUUUCCUGUGUAGCGGUGAAAUGCGUAGAUAUAGGAAGGAACACCAGUGGCGAAGGCGACUACCUGGACUGAUACUGACACUGAGGUGCGAAAGCGUGGGGAGCAACAGGAUUAGAUACCCUGGUAGUCCACGCCGUAACGAUGUCGACUAGCCGUUGGGAUCCUUGAGAUCUUAGUGGCGCAGCUAACGCAUUAAGUCGACCGCCUGGGGAGUACGG